GGAGUUAGUGGCGGACGGGUGAGUAACACGUGGGAACGUGCCUUUAGGUUCGGAAUAACUCAGGGAAACUUGUGCUAAUACCGAAUGUGCCCUUCGGGGGAAAGAUUUAUCGCCUUUAGAGCGGCCCGCGUCUGAUUAGCUAGUUGGUGAGGUAAAGGCUCACCAAGGCGACGAUCAGUAGCUGGUCUGAGAGGAUGAUCAGCCACAUUGGGACUGAGACACGGCCCAAACUCCUACGGGAGGCAGCAGUGGGGAAUCUUGCGCAAUGGGCGAAAGCCUGACGCAGCCAUGCCGCGUGAAUGAUGAAGGUCUUAGGAUUGUAAAAUUCUUUCACCGGGGACGAUAAUGACGGUACCCGGAGAAGAAGCCCCGGCUAACUUCGUGCCAGCAGCCGCGGUAAUACGAAGGGGGCUAGCGUUGCUCGGAAUUACUGGGCGUAAAGGGAGCGUAGGCGGACAUUUAAGUCAGGGGUGAAAUCCCGGGGCUCAACCUCGGAAUUGCCUUUGAUACUGGGUGUCUUGAGUAUGAGAGAGGUGUGUGGAACUCCGAGUGUAGAGGUGAAAUUCGUAGAUAUUCGGAAGAACACCAGUGGCGAAGGCGACACACUGGCUCAUUACUGACGCUGAGGCUCGAAAGCGUGGGGAGCAAACAGGAUUAGAUACCCUGGUAGUCCACGCCGUAAACGAUGAUUGCUAGUUGUCGGGAUGCAUGCAUUUCGGUGACGCAGCUAACGCAUUAAGCAAUCCGCCUGGGGAGUACGGUCGCAAGAUUAAAACUCAAAGGAAUUGACG
rnacentral:rRNA from 1 species